UGGAUAACCUGCCCUGGUAUCUGGGAUAUCAUCUCGAAAGGGGUGCUAAUACCGGAUAAGCCUACGGGAUCUUCGGAUUCUGCAGGAAAAGGUGGCCUCUAUUUAUAAGCUACCGUAUCAUGAUGGGUCCGCGUACCAUUAGCUAGUUGGUGGGGUAAUGGCCUACCAAGGCGACGAUGGUUAGCUGGUCUGAGAGGAUGAUCAGCCACACUGGAA
rnacentral:rRNA from 1 species